UUUAAGGUUUGCCAAUUAGUCCCUACAUUUUGCACUAUUGAAUUGUAAUAGUCAUUGGACAUCUGCACCUCUUGAAGUAAAUGAUGCACCAAAACUACUACCAUAAACAAAACAACCACAAUUGUCUUUUUCUCUGUACAGACAGAUUCUGUAACUUUAUUGCAUACAGCUCUUGAUUUGUUUUUUACUAAAACACUUUUCUAUGGUAGAGGUUCAAAAUUUGCAAAGAUCCAACAUGUCAGCGGCACUGAGGUCAAGUCGUCCAAAUUUUGAUGAUCGUCAAGAUGACAGAUAAACUCAAUGCACACUCAUACUCCGACAAACUUAGUUAAGGCGGAGGUAUCAAGAGCAGUGAACUCUUUCACAGCAUUAAGCACAUCAUGAGCAAGUUUUACAGCAUCCUCCUUGCUUGGUGCCUCAAUAUUAAGGGGUAGAACAGGGUCAUGUAGUGAGAGUCUUAGAAGGAACCACCCGCCAAAUCCAGAAACUCUAACCCCUUCAUAGUUAACAGGUGCUUUCAGAAGCUUCGCAUCCAACUCAACUGUAUUCUCAAGUUGCUUUAACACUGCUUCACCAUAAUCACGGAAGGAUCCUCCUUGAAGAUCUGGGUGAUUCUGAUCAAUCUUUAGUCUAAGUUCAACAGCAACAGCUGGUUCUUCAAGACCCUCCACCAUGUCAGUUAAGACUUUGCUUCCUCCGCCUAGUCCUGAUGUUCUAGCUGAUGCAAGCUUAUUCAGUAACUUCACCAUAAGGUAUGCACCAUCAUCAAGCCAAUGAUUCUCCUUGAGAGCUCCAUGUCCACUAGUUUCAAUAGCCAGAUGUGCUUCUUCACCAACAGAGUUCAGACGAAUAGCCUCAUCAAUAACAUUCUUGUAUCCUCUUUUGAACCUAUGAUGCUUCCCUCCUAGUUUCUUUUCAAUAAAUGUUGUCAGCCCAUCUGAUGUUACACUGUCUGUGACAAUAGUGGUCCCAGGAUGUUCCUCCAAAACAAUUGCGGACAUUAAAGCAAUCAAACGAUUUCUGUUAAAUUCACGACCACUCGAAUCCACAGCCGCAGACCUGUCAACAUCUGUAUCAAAGAUGAUUCCCAAAUCAGCCCUGUUAUCAAGUACUGCCUUGGUAAUAGCUUUCAUGGCUGUCUUAUCCUCUGGGUUAGGUAUAUGAUUGGGAAACAAACCAUCUGGCUCCAAGAACUGACUGCCAGAAGUAAUAGCACCCAGAGGCUCAAGCACCUUCCCCACAAAGAAUCCGCCUGCUCCAUUCCCUGCAUCAACAAUGAUAUGGAAUCCUUCCAGUGGCUUUUCUAUACUUCCUGCAGCUUUGCGGACUGCUGCUACAAGAUUAGAUGCAUAAACAGACAUGUAAUCCACUCUUUUCACAUCGAGAGAAGCAGCUGUUUCUGCUCCCUUAGAAUUUUCAUUUGCAAUAUUUUUGUAUAUAUCAGCAGCUCGCUCCAAGAUAUCUUUGAUGUCAGGCUUCCCAAGUCCACCUGCACUUGUAAAGAACUUGAACCCAUUCCUGUUGUAGGGAAGAUGGCUUGCUGUUAUCAUUAUGGAACCAUCCACUGGACAGGAAAAUUCUUCAUUUUCGGUAAGAGUGCUAUUGAACAUGGCUGGAGUGGAUGCCAAUCCAUAUUGGAUGACUUCAACUCCAGCUCUAGCAAGUCCUCGAGAAACUGCAUCCUGUAACUUCUGUGCAGAAAUUCGUGAGUCAUGACCGACGGAGACUCUUAAACAUUUAGAAGAAACAUUUUUCUUUUUUGCCAGCAACCAACCAGAAAAACCUGCUGCUAUUGCUUCUGUAACUGUCUCUGUGAGAGUAAGAGGUUCCCCCUCAACUCCAUCAAUAGCUACUCCACGUAUAUCACUUCCAUUCUGAAGCUUAAGAAAGUUGCUUUUCUCAACAGACGGGAUUGCAGUGGACGACGAGGCAGCAUUGCAAUAAACAUUUCCUCGCUUAGAUUUUGAUAAGGCAUCCAGUUGCAUGGUGGAGUUGCCAUUCCAUGCCAACUUCCCUCCUACAGGGGGGAGCAAGUUGCGCCUACUAAGGGUACAAUAGUACAAUCGGUAUUUUGUGCUCAAUUCCCUAUCCUGCUGGCAGCACUUUGCUACCAGGUUAUGUUGGACAACCUUCCCUGAUAUUGCUGCCAUUUUGGGGACACGCAGAUGCAGGAUCUCGAUUACGAUAUUGAGGGAUAGAAGGAGAGUGAGGAUGAUGGGCGGAGAACGAGAAGUAUAUCUAAAGUACUAUCAAGGAAUAAACAAAUGAGGCACCGAGUU
rnacentral:misc_RNA from 1 species